GCUCUCAUUGGAGUGGAGGUGGGGAUUUGUGGUACACAGCGUCUGGGGCAACACGCCGGCCGAGACAGGCAUAUUAAACACACAGUUAACGAAAUGCGCUCUUGAGAUGAGCGUCAUGCGCCAAAGCGCACAUAAGAUAUAUGUCUGUUUCCUUACUUUAACUUUAAAAAAUGUGAGAAGUUGCUCUCAAAACAAACACCAUUUUGCAUAUGUAUCUUGUGGAAAAAGAUGUAGGCUGUAUGAUUGUUUUUUUUCCUUCUUCUUCCUUAGGUUGAGUACUGAAGGUGGCGCUUGGACACUGUUGCAGGCGCCUGGAUGCGUCGAAGCUGUGAUGUACCAUGGGUAGCUGACCAAGGAAAGACACCCCACCUUGCAAUGUGCUGCUUUAGCUUCCCAGCAUAAGAAAAACUCCAGCAAAGGAAAACAAACGAAGCAGAGAAGACAAACGCAACGAGAGAUAGUGCGGUUUCAAAUCCCUCCGUCAAAUGUGACCUGCUAGAAACUUUGAAACAAACAGAUGUACACACUCCUCAUCCCGCAAGCAGUUCCUCUGUAGCAGCAGUAUGUCUGUCAGUUCUUUCAUCAUGUUAUGAAAUAAGAAGAGAGCACAAGAGGAACCUGUUGCUGGGCUAUAAGACCAAAGCAGCCCGGAGAAAAAAUGGUAAUGCAAGCAAGAGCGGCGGCAGGGGUCUGCCGGGGUGUAACCAUAGCUGCUAAACUCGCAUUCAGGCCUUUUCCAGAGCAGGGCUCAGAGUAUGCAGACGACCUAGGGGCUAGAGACUUAGGGAGGACUUUAAGCUUCUUUGUCAAGCUCCUCCGAGCUCAGUCGACUGCUGUGAAGAGGCCGAAGCAUGCAGCUGUCUAGCAACAAGAAACCCCUCAUACCACAGAUACUGGCCUGUGGUUAAGGAGUGUGAGUAUGAAAGUGUACGUGGUUCAUAUUGUGUGACUCAACAUGUGGGUCUGAAUUUGUGAAAGUGCACCGCUGAUGAGUAUCACACCAGGUGAGACAUGUGUUUGGAAGGCUUAUAACAUGCUUUUAAUAUUUAGACUUUAUAACACAAGUGUAACACCAAAUAUACCAUUUGUCUGUGAUAACAUGCAACUGUAAAGAAUUGCUUUACAUUUUAUAAACACACCACAUCUCCAUUUGUGUCAUUAAAACUACGCUUAACGUGUAAGUAAUGAAUCAAACACCUAUUCAAAGAAAGACACCCAGUUAAACUGUCUAACUCAGACUACUAAUCCCUGAUUUAGAGAGGUAGGUACACUUAAGGACUUAAGCAAUUUCACAUGCAAUAAGGAUGGUGGAUUCUGUCUUCUGUCACAACGCUUAAAUUGCCUUUAAAGUGGGAUUUCCGUAUGGCUGCUACAGGCGAAAGGGAUGACAACAGCCAGCAAUAACUCUUUCAGUGUCCAUGUAGGCAUGUAUUAGUUUUAUUUUGAUAUGAAAAACAGUGAAACUAAUUGAUCAUGAGCCUUCUUUUCUGGCAAUUGUAACGGCCAAUAUAUUAUAAAAUUGUAGAGGCAGUAUAGCAG
rnacentral:lncRNA from 1 species